rnacentral:misc_RNA from 1 species
GCUGGAAGUGCAGGGCUUGGCGUUCUUAACAUGGCUGUUCAGGCUGUUUCGAGAAUGGCAGGGAACAGUGAUUCUACUGCAAGAAAUCAAUUUUUUCUAAUAGAUAAAGAUGGCCUUAUCACAAAAGAGAGAACAAAUAUUGAUCCAGCAGCCGCACCAUUUGCUAAAGACCCAAGAGAGCUCGAGGGACUUAAUGAAGGAGCCAAUCUAUUAGAAGUGGUGAAAAAGGUCAGGCCCCAUGUUCUUCUUGGUCUUUCAGGAGUUGGCGGUAUCUUCAAUGAGGAGGUGCUCAAGGCAAUGCGAGAAUCUGAUUCAAGUAAACCUGCGAUAUUUGCUAUGUCAAAUCCCACCAUGAAUGCUG